rnacentral:rRNA from 1 species
GUCCGCAGUCCCGGGGCGCUUGGAAGCCUAGGCAUCCUCGCGUACCUGUAGCAUACAUGUUGGGACCCGAAAGAUGGUGAUCUAUGCCUGGCCAGGUUGAAGUCAGGGGAAACCCUGAUGGAGGACCGCAGCGGUUCUGACGUGCAAAUCGAUCGUCUGAGCUGGGUAUAGCGGCGAAAGACUAAUCGAACCAUCUAGUAGCUGGUUCCCUCCGAAGUUUCCCUCAGGAUAGCUGAGAAGAGUACAGUCUCAUCCGGUAAAGCGAAUGAUUAGAGGUCUUGGGGUCGAAACGGCCUCAACCUAUUCUCAAACUUUAAAUGGGUGAGAUCCCCGGGUUGCUCGAAUGAACCCGGGGGGGAUGAGAACUUCUUUAGUGGGCCAUUUUUGGUAAGCAGAACUGCG